AUUGAACGCUGGCGGCAUGCCUUACACAUGCAAGUCGAACGGCAGCACGGAGCUUGCUCUGGUGGCGAGUGGCGAACGGGUGAGUAAUAUAUCGGAACGUACCCAAGAGUGGGGGAUAACGUAGCGAAAGUUACGCUAAUACCGCAUACGAUCUAAGGAUGAAAGUGGGGGCCCGCAAGACCUCAUGCUCCUGGAGCGGCCGAUAUCUGAUUAGCUAGUUGGUGAGGUAAAGGCUCACCAAGGCAUCGAUCAGUAGCUGGUCUGAGAGGACGACCAGCCACACUGUAACUGAGACACGGUCCAGACUCCUACGGGAGGCAGCAGUGGGGAAUUUUGGACAAUGGGGCAACCCUGAUCCAGCAAUGCCGCGUGAGUGAAGAAGGCCUUCGGGUUGUAAAGCUCUUUUGUCAGGGAAGAAACGGUGAAGGCUAAUAUCCUUUGCUAAUGACGGUACCUGAAGAAUAAGCACCGGCUAACUACGUGCCAGCCGCCGCCGUAACAC
rnacentral:rRNA from 1 species